rnacentral:sRNA from 1 species
UUUUCGUUUUCGAAAACGUUUUCGAAAAUUCGUUUUCGAAAACGGAAA